CCUACGGGCGGCUGCAGUGGGGAAUCUUCCGCAAUGGACGAAAGUCUGACGGAGCAACGCCGCGUGAGUGAAGAAGGUUUUCGGAUCGUAAAGCUCUGUUGUUUGAGACGAAUGUGCAGACUUUGAAUAAGGGUUUGUAAUGACGGUAUUAAACGAGAAAGCCACGGCUAACUACGUGCCAGCAGCCGCGGUAAUACGUAGGUGGCAAGCGUUGUCCGGAAUUAUUGGGCGUAAAGGGAGCGCAGGUGGGAAUGUAAGUCAGUCUUAAAAGUGCGGGGCUCAACCCCGUGAGGGGAUUGAAACUACAUUUCUUGAGUGCAGGAGAGGAAAGUGGAAUUCCUAGUGUAGCGGUGAAAUGCGUAGAGAUUAGGAGGAACACCAGUGGCGAAGGCGACUUUCUGGACUGUAACUGACACUGAGGCUCGAAAGCCAGGGGAGCGAACGGGCUUAGAUACCCCUGUAGUC
rnacentral:rRNA from 1 species